AAAGCGCACGUGCUGUGAGCUCGAUGAGUAGGGCGGGACACGUGGUAUCCUGUCUGAAUAUGGGGGGACCAUCCUCCAAGGCUAAAUACUCCUGACUGACCGAUAGUGAACCAGUACCGUGAGGGAAAGGCGAAAAGAACCCCGGCGAGGGGAGUGAAACAGAACCUGAAACCGUGUACGUACAAGCAGUGGGAGCCCCACCACCAAAGCGUUUCGCUUUGCGUGGUGCGCAAAAUGCGUAACGACAGCACGAUUGCGGUUAACGGAGCGUAAGCGACGUUCAACACAAAAAUCAGGCAGUGGAGCGUUUUGGGGUGGGGUGACUGCGUACCUUUUGUAUAAUGGGUCAGCGACUUAUAUUCUGUAGCAAGGUUAACCGCAUAGGGGAGCCGGAGGGAAACCGAGUCUUAAUUGGGCGUUAAGUUGCAGGGUAUAGACCCGAAACCCGGUGAUCUAGCCAUGGGCAGGUUGAAGGUUGGGUAACACUAACUGGAGGACCGAACCGACUAAUGUUGAAAAAUUAGCGGAUGACCUGUGGCUGGGGGUGAAAGGCCAAUCAAACCGGGAGAUAGCUGGUUCUCCCCGAAAGCUAUUUAGGUAGCGCCUCGUGAAUUCAUCUCCGGGGGUAGAGCACUGUUUCGGCCAGGGGGCCAUCCCGGCUUACCAAUCCGAUGCAAACUGCGAAUACCGGAGAAUGUUAUCACGGGAGACACACGGCGGGUGCUAACGUCCGUCGUGAAGAGGGAAACAACCCAGACCGCCAGCUAAGGUCCCAAAGUCAUGGUUAAGUGGGAAACGAUGUGGGAAGGCCCAGACAGCCAGGAUGUUGGCUUAGAAGCAGCCAUCAUUUAAAGAAAGCGUAAUAGCUCACUGGUCGAGUCGGCCUGCGCGGAAGAUGUAACGGGGCUAAACCAUGCACCGAAGCUGCGGCAGCGACACUGAUGUGUUGUUGGGUAGGGGAGCGUUCUGUAAGCCGUUGAAGGUGGCCUGUGAGGGUUGCUGGAGGUAUCAGAAGUGCGAAUGCUGACAUAAGUAACGAUAAAGCGGGUGAAAAGCCCGCUCGCCGGAAGACCAAGGGUUCCUGUCCAACGUUAAUCGGGGCAGGGUGAGUCGACCCCUAAGGCGAGGCCGAAAGGCGUAGUCGAUGGGAAACGGGUUAAUAUUCCCGUACUUGGUGUUACUGCGAAGGGGGGACGGAGAAGGCUAUGUUGGCCGGGCGACGGUUGUCCCGGUUUAAGCGUGUAGGUGUGUGUUCCAGGUAAAUCCGGUUCACUUUAACAC
rnacentral:rRNA from 1 species